rnacentral:lncRNA from 1 species
AAGGUCUUCAUCAUAAAUAGAUUACUCUUAAUAAAAAAAACUCUACUCACAUGGUUACCAUUAAAACAAAAAAAGGGGAGGGGCUCUUAAUUAGCGGAGAUGUCAAAAUAUUGACGAAAGCGAAACUUCGAGUAAUAAAAGGAAUAUUUAGUAAAUGGCAGCAAAUUACUUUACCGUUUGCAAAAAAUUAUUGAAAUAAAGAGGCCAUCUAUUCAAUAUAGAAAUAAUCAGAGUUUAGAAGGCUUAACAUGACCGGGUCCGUUAGCUUUGUUUGCAAACAUGAGAUUAUGUCACGUUAACAACCUCAAAAGUCAAUUUAAAACAUGUUUAGUAGCAAAAUGUGAUAUAUACAAGUAUAAAUGUGAUAGUAUAGUAAUACUCUUUUAUCAUUUUUUAGCUAAUAAAAUGGAUUUAAGACUAGAUUGAUUUUUGUUUCCUGUUAAACCGCAGUAAAUAAAAAUUAGAAGGCUAUUUGGCCCCGACAGAAUAUGCGACAAGUUUGUAUUAAACUCAUUUACACAAAAAUGGAAUUAAGACAAGUUAGCUCCUAAAAUUAUCUAUAUGUACAGAUAUGUUUAUUGCACUUAUUAGUAAAUAAACUGAUUAGUUGCGUAAUGAGUUUAAAUUUUAGCCAUUUUAUUAAAGUUGAUAAUCCUAACGUACUUAAUUAAACAUGCGUGAUGUAAUUUGCAUAGCUAAAUUAAAUGCUCUUUGCGCUUAGUGUUGCGCAGUUUGGUUUGUGCGCAGUUUUUCUUCUGUUCUGGAAUUUUGAGAUUAGAAUUUCCAGACUUAUUUUAAAAAGCGCGUUUUCGUUUUAAUUUUUUUUUACAUCUAAUCGUACCUAUCAAGUAGGUCAUAUUCAGUAUAAUCAAUUCAAUCGUUUUCAUUUUUUAUGUUUUAACAUGUCUAUUACCUUUAUUAAAUUUGUUUUUAAGCAUAUUUGUUUUUAUUUUUUAUAUCGAAUUAAUAGAAUGAAUCAGAUUGAAGAUGAAGUUGCUGAAUUACUAAGAAAUGAUGACAAUAUU